GACGGAGGAUGCAAGCGUUAUCCGGAAUGAUUGGGCGUAAAGCGUCCGCAGGUGGCAGUUCAAGUCUGCUGUCAAAGACCGGGGCUUAACUUCGGAAAGGCAGUGGAAACUGAACAGCUAGAGUAUGGUAGGGGCAGAGGGAAUUCCUGGUGUAGCGGUGAAAUGCGUAGAGAUCAGGAGAACAUCGGUGGCGAAGGCGCUCUGCUGGACCAUAACUGACACUCAGGGACGAAGCUAGGGGAGCGAAUGG
rnacentral:rRNA from 1 species